GAAACAGCACGAGGGUGGAGGAAGAGGAGGAGGAAGAGGAGGAAGAGGGGGAGGAGGGCGUUACCCCCACAGCACUUCAGCAUGGAUCCAAUGUGGAGACAAACGGAGCCAGCUUCUUCUACUGAGCGUUUGGAAGCGGUGCUGUCCUACCUCCUUACGGGGAACAAAAGACGAGAAGACCAUGGCCUCUCGGCUCCAUGCACUCUCGACCACGGGUAUUCUUGGGUUGAUAAUACAGAUGUGGAUGUUAUUGCUUGAGAAUACGCGUAGUCGAGUGGAGGCUUUAUCAUCUACGCUGGACCUCAAAUGGGCAUUGGUCACAAGGUGGGGAGGGGUGGCGCGGCUAAUAGAGGUGGCUUUUAAUGGGUUUAUCAAGCGUGCCCCUCUUAACACCUGUGGAGGAAAUGAGUUUGCACGGAUCUCCUGCAAGAGGCGACCUCCUGCACUAAGAUCGGCCCAAAUCCAACCCCCACCCCCUACCCCCCCUUCCCAGGCUCCUUCAAGGCAUUAGUUCAGGGAGAUUAACACUGAAGUCACAUGUUAAUUACAAACCUACUCUUGUCGGUCAGCCGUGCCCCCGAGAGGGACUAUAAUCUUAUCACCGGUGAGAGGAUUUCAUGAGCCUGUUUUCACCACCAUUUUGUAGGACUUUGUACAAAAAGUAUUGCGUUGUUUUGAGUAGAAAAAUAAUAGACUGACAUUUCAAAUCAUGGCAAUUUACACAAUGUAUUAUAUAUAUUUUUAUUACCUCUGCAUAUUUUAAAUAUGUAUGUAAAUCGACAUUGUACUUUAAACACAAAUAAAUACAAAAUAAUUUAUUUUCUUGGCAGAUUGUAAUGACUUCAGUGCAUGUCGGCCAUCUUUGUGGAAACUGUUGAGUUCGUACUUGCUGCAAAAUGAUCCCUUUCAAACUCAAUACAGCAGAAUAUGAAAUGAAAGAAGACAUAUUAUGCUCAUUCCCUUUGUAUUGAGUUGUGGACUCCAAUAGAGCAGCUACACACAAUAACCUGCACAGAAAGCUUUCUAGAUCUUCCAGAUUCUGCCCCUCUUUCUGCAGUGUUUCCAUGGAUUUCCUGCUCCCAAACAGUCUGUUUAAGUUACUCCACCCCGGCCUUCCUCCAGGUACGCUAAUUCUGCUGUGAUUGCUCACACUACCAAGCGCUACCAAGGACUUUCAGACAGCUGCCGAGCUCAUUUUGUCCAAUUAUUUAUACAAAACAAAUACUGAUAAAUUUGUACUCACAGGCUUGCUCUUCUGACUCUUCAACAUGAACAAGUAACAUUGGAACUGUUUACAAAACAGACAGAUGAGCAUAUUUUUCUCUUGCCGGCCGGGAAUCACAAACUCCCACCACUUCUGCCAGUGUGCCUGAUGCUUGCCUCUGGAGGCAAGAUAGCUUUUCCUCACACCAGAACAUACAUUUCCUGGAAGCCGACAUGAUAAUAUGGUGACAUUUUCCACAAGCGAGUGAAGUGGGGGUUGGCCUACAAGCAUGCACCCUGGUAUGGUCAUAUAAGGAAGUGUAAGCAUUGACGUCAGUAGAACUCUGAGCAUGCAGAGCCAUUCAAAACUUCUUUCAGGGCUCACCUCCAAAUGCCCAAAGCUCAUUAUCUGAUGCUUUGGCAUCGUUUCACACGAGAAUACAACAUUGUAACAACAUUUAUAUGUCAGAAAAUUAAAUAGUUCCCCUUUAAAGUCAGCAUAAGGACAACUAAAUGAUUUCCUUCAGUAUAAAGUAUGAUGAUAACUAUAGAGCAGUAUGAACAAUAUGAUGAGACAAUCAUAAUAAAAGAAGAGAAAAUGACUACACACUGCUGUCAGCUUUAUUUGGUUUUAGUUAUUUUGCUCUGCUGUGCUUUUUUCGUUGUUAUACUUGUAUGUCAGUUUAUAAUGUCAAAGAUUGCCUGUAUAGAACAGCUUGAGAGUAGAAUGGAUAUUUUUGUUUGUUUUUGCUAUGCCACCGCAGAAGGGUAACAGUGAUGA